rnacentral:rRNA from 1 species
UACGGAGGGUGCAAGCGUUAUCCGGAUUUACUGGGUUUAAAGGGUGCGCAGGCGGAUAUGUAAGUCAGUGGUGAAAUCUCUAGGCUUAACCUGGAAAUUGCCGUUGAUACUAUAUAUCUUGAAUGCUGUGGAGGUAAGCGGAAUAUGUAAUGUAGCGGUGAAAUGCUUAGAUAUGACAUAGAACACCUAUUGCGAAGGCAGCUUACUACGCAGAUAUUGACGCUCAUGCACGAAAGCGUGGGGAUCAAACAGG